rnacentral:rRNA from 1 species
GGGUUGCCCCAUUCGGAAAUCCUCGGAUCACAGCUCUGUUGACAACUCCCCGAGGCAUAUCGCAGUCUCAGACGUCCUUCAUCGGCUCCUGAUGCCAAGACAUCCACCAUGUGCCCUUAAACACUUCACCACAACAAGAUGCUCGCAUCCACUAUACAACACUCAACAAACAACCACACCCCACCACACCAACCACCACCACCCACACCACAAACCAAAACCAGGUGAGCGUUAGACGAUCCGUGAUGAGCACGGCCAGAAAAAACAACCCACAACGGGAUGUCCUCUCAGGACCCAACAGCGUGCCAAGCCAAUCUGAUCUGUCAUAUUCCACCCAGCCACCCCCAACACCAACCCACCAAACGCGGACCGAUGUCGUGUACAGGGGCGAACCUUUAGUGAAAGGAGAUGAACUCCCCACCAAUGUGGGAAACUCCUUAGAAAGGAGGUGAUCCAGCCGCACCUUCCGGUACGGCUACCUUGUUACGACUUCGUCCUAAUCGCCAGUCCCACCUUCGACAACUCCCUCCCUUACGGGUUAGGCCGUCGGCUUCGGGUGUUACCAACUUUCAUGACGUGACGGGCGGUGUGUGCAA